rnacentral:rRNA from 1 species
UUGGCAGAAACACGGCUAUAUUCACCUCAUAGCCCGCCAGAUAAUUACGAGUGAAAACUUAAAAUUCAAAGGACUUGACGGUGUCCCACACACAACCUAGAGGAGCCUGUCCUAUAAUCGAUAAUCCACGAUAGACCCGACCACUUUUUGCCAAACAAUCUAUAUACCGCCGUCGAAAGUUUACCUUUUGAAAGUAAAAGAGUAAACAAAAGAGUCCACCACUAAUAUGACAGGUCAAGGUGUAGUAAAUAAAGUGGCUAGAGAUGGGCUACACUUCCUUUAUAAAGGAGAAACGAACAGCCUAAUGAAACCACGCUAGAAGGCGGAUUUAGUAGUAAAAUGGGAUUAGAAAGCCCACUUGAACAUAUUGCCCUGGGACG